UACGGAGGAUGCGAGCGUUAUCCGGAUUUAUUGGGUUUAAAGGGUGCGCAGGCGGAUUUUUAAGUCAGCGGUCAAAUCGUGGGGCUCAACCCCAUCCAGCCGUUGAAACUGGGGAUCUAGAGUGUGCGAGAGGUAUGCGGAAUGCGUGGUGCAGCGGUGAAAUGCAUAGAUAUCACGCAGAACCCCGAUUGCGAAGGCAGCAUACCGGUGCACAACUGACGCUCAGGCACGAAAGCGUGGGUAUCGAACAGG
rnacentral:rRNA from 1 species